rnacentral:lncRNA from 1 species
AAUAGAUUACAUCUACAAAAGGGAGGAAGGAAGGGUGUGCAAGAUGAGUGGGAAAGAAUACAAAGAAAAGAGGGAGCGUGGGGCGCAGCUGUGAAUACAGUGAUGUAAGCUUGGAGGUAACAACUUGGUUGCUAUAUAUCCAUUGAGCCCGCUGAACAUAGAUUUGCUCAUAAGCUGAAGGAGUGUAGCGCCCUGUGGUAGAUUGAGGAAGCCGAGGUCUGCUUUUUGUUCAAAAAGAUAUGGCAUGAGUUCCUCUCAUGCCAUAUGUG